CACACAUGAUGGAUUCCCUGGGUUCAGCUGCUGAAACUCCUCUCAAAAAAGAGGGACGGAGGAGAGAAGUAGAAAGUACUUCAAACGUGAGUGUACAUCAUUCAGUCAGCCUGGUAGAGUGUUCUUUAUCGCCAACCCAUCACUAUAGUCCUCAGAGUUCCUAACUUCUCAGUGUUGAGAAAUGUUGCAACAUGUGAGGUCUAUGCAAAUACUUUACAGCUUGUAUGAAUCCAUCAAAAGAUUUUGAGUUUCAUUUGGGGAUGUACAUAUCAUGAAACUUUAAGCUACUUUACAGAACCAGUUCUUGCACCUCAAAAGGGGAUGGGGACUAGAGUGGAUAAUUAUGAAAAUUCAUACUAUAGGUAGAUAGAUAGGAAGGAAGGAAGGCUGGUAGGCAGGCAGACAGACAGACAGAUAGUGGAGAGAGAAGAUAACUACUCGGGAAACCAGUGAAAUUUCAGUUAGUUGGAUUCUAUUUUUGAGAUAAGAUCUUAUAUAGCCUAAGCCAGUCUGGAACUUGCCCAGACUUGUCUCGAACUCAAGAGUGGCCUUGAGUUUAUAAUCCUCUGACCUCCCACAUGCUUGAAUUUCCAGCUUUGUGCCACCACACUAGGGUUAUGUGGAGCUAGAACCCAGGGCCUUGAGCAGGCUAGACAAGCACUCCAACUGAACUAAAUCCCCAUCCCUGAGACUAGUUUAAAAUAGACCUCCAAGAGGGGCCUGGUGUUGCACAUCUUUAAUCCCAGCACUUGGAAGGUAUCUUCGGCUGGGUGCUGCGUGCCUGUAAUCCUGCCCUGGGGAGGUAGAAGAAUCCCUGCUUAUCUUAGGCCAGCUUGCUUUAUAUGGUUCAUUCUAGGCAGUUAGGGUUACCUAGACAGACUUGCCUCAACAAAAAGUUCCUAGUGUAUCUGCUCUACAGGAGACCAUCAGAGAACUGCCUGCUUUUGAUAGGUGAUUGAGCCUACCCUAGCCUAUGACUAUUGUCUGCCACUGAAGGAGUAUAGCAUUAUACAGUACUUGAGUAUGUCUGACUGGAGAGAGAUCUGGCACUCACAUAUACCUUAAUGGAAAAAUUGACCAGACCUUUGGCAGCGUUGUGACUUCUGAAGGAACAUAACUGGCUCCACUCAUGCUCACAAUAAGUUCCCAACACUGACAAAAGCGUACUUGGUAGACACAGGAAACUGGAAUAAGACAGAAUUCUUCAACUGGCAGGGCACACAUAUUUAUACAUUCUUCUGUGUCGAGCUCAGUGGUUAGAGAAUGCUUCCUGGCAUGGCUGCAGUAUACAAAUGUUUUCAAUUUGAGCUAGCACUUUUUUUCCCAUCUAAUUAGCAUUCAGGAUAAAGUUCACAGCCCUCAGGUUUGAGACGGGACAGUCAUAUGGAUCUGUGGAGUUGUUCCUAUGACUGUCCCACUAGCUGUGUAACAUUGCUCUGGAGAGUUACCUUGUUCCCAAACAACUGAUGCCCUUGCACAGGCUACUCUGCUUGUGAAUACUCAAAACUUAGGCUUGGCAAAUUCCUUGGUUUUGAUGAAAGGGGGCCUUGUGAGCAUAGUAACAAAUUAGAGAAAUACUUGUAUAUAAUUAGGUAUAUUGAGGGGCAUUUAAAAUAAGACUUGCCCUGGGUGUGGUGGCAUAUAACCUUAAUCCCAGCACUCUGGAGGCAGAGACAAGCAGAUCUCUGGGAAUUUGAGGACAGCCAGUUCUACAUAUUUCCAAGACAGCCAGGGCUACAUAGACCCUGUCUCAAAAGACCACACAUACACAAUUCAUAGCUGGGAAUGGAGUUCAGUGAUAGAACUAGGCACUAGGAUUAGUAUCCAGUAAAACAAGCACCCCAAAACCUUAAGUAAUCGAUUAGAUUUAAUUAUGUUUUGUUACUGUUCUCCACUAUUUGAACAGAAACUUGAGAGGAAAGACUUUGUUUGUAUUGGUGUAGUCUGACAUGUCUAGCAAUAGCCAACACCACCACCCAUCAAGUUAUGAAGGUAGAGGAGCUAGAUGUGGAGCUUGUUGGAGGUUGAAGGCAGGGAAGGGAGCUACUGUAGGCACGGUUGCCCCUCAUUUAACACUGUAAAACCUGAAGUCUACUUCGUCCUGCCCACCUUCAGCAGUGCUUACAGGCUUGGUUCUGACUAGAAGACAGUUGUUCCACUAUAUGGGUUCCUCGCCUAAUGGUGCUCAGCGUCAGUCACAACUGUGUUGGACCCAAGGGGGAAAACUUGGAUGUCAUUUGUUCAUCUGUGCAAAUUCAAUCAUAGACUGUAACCAUUUUGAAGUAGGAAAAUCUCUGCCUUUGUCCCAGCCCUUGCCAUUCAUGGCCUGUGAGCCCUGUAGAGUGUAUGCUAGUCUCAGUUUCCUCCACAGGUUAAACAAGGUGGACCAGAUCGUCCUCGAGGCCCCUCUGGCUUUCUCAUUAUGAAGUUCCAUUUUUUAUUUAUAUAUAUUUUUGUAUGCAUGGGCAGUUGGGGCACCAGUAUAUAGGUCAAGUAGGACUGUUAGGACUGUUAGCAGACCCAGUGUUCCAGCAGACAGAUGCAAGCCACAGCAGUGCCGACCGAGGUUCUUUAGGAAGUUUGCCGAAGCCAUCAGUGAACGUCUUGGAUGAUGAAGCGCUCCUGAGUGCCAACCUGAUCAGAUGGCAGUGCCAAUCCACGGGUGCCCUGCUAGCAUGGAUUUUUCCUGUUGGAGAUCCCAAGUGACAGCAUGAGUCCAGCGUACACAGCCAUCGGUUCCUUCAUAGUCCUGACUGAUCCUGUGCCCUGGCGUAAGAAUCAACGAGGAAGGAUCUGAAUCUUUCCCUGCCAAGACAGCCCUGAAGAACUCCUUCAGUGUCAGGGCGGCAAUCUCCAAGAAGCAGUCUGGGACCUGCAGCCCCAAAGACACCCCCCAAGAAAAGGAAGAAAUGAGGCACCAUAGAGAGCCCAUUGGCUGGUGUUGCCCUGCUGCCCUGCUGCCCCGCUGCCCUGGGUUCUGCAGCCCAAGACUACCCUGUUCCCUAGUGAAACACCAUCCAGAGAGCAGUCUUGGGUAUUAGAGCCUUCCAGGACUUGUCGGUUCUACCAGCUGGGUAUGUUUUAAUGAGUGUGGGAAAUGAGAGGGUUGAGCUUUCUUUUCCUUAGACCUCUUGUGAGAAAGGCUGUCCUCAACCUUACGACUGCCAUCGGCCAACCAUUCUGAGAAUGCACAUCUUAGAUCUCAUGGGACCCAGUGCAUGUCUUACCUCAAAGUCAUUCCCCUUGUUAUAGUGUGUAUUGAGAACUCGGAAAAGCUCCGAGUCUCGGAGGACAGCCAGUGCUUGGGCGUUCGUGAUACCGUCUGAAAGUGCUUGCCGGGCAUACUUUUCCAUCUGGAUGUAAUAAAAUUCACGGAAGUUGCUGAACCACUUGAUCAUCUGGGAGGUGAUGCAGCGGUUGAACUGUGUGAACAAAUGGUCCAUCAAGUCAGACAUUUGCUGCGAGGUGCUCGGUGUCAGAACUGUCAG
rnacentral:lncRNA from 1 species